rnacentral:rRNA from 1 species
UACGUAGGCAGCAAGCGUUGUUCGGAGUUACUGGGCGUAAAGGGUGUGUAGGCGGCUUCGUAAGUUCGGUGUGAAAUCUCCUGGCUCAACUGGGAGGGUGCGCCGAAAACUGCGGAGCUAGAGCGCAGGAGAGGAGAGCAGAAUUCCUGGUGUAGCGGUGAAAUGCGUAGAUAUCAGGAGGAACACCGGUGGCGAAGGCGGCGACCUGGUCCAUUACUGACGCUGAGGCGCGACAGCGUGGGGAGCAAACAGG